rnacentral:rRNA from 1 species
UGCCGGUAGUUAAGUCGGAGGAAGUGGGGAGUGACGUCAAGUCAGCAUGACCUUUAUAUCCAGGGCUACACACACGCUACAAUGGUCUGUACAAUAGGUUGCCAAGCCGCGAGGCGGAGCCAAUCCUAAAAAGCAGGCCUCAGUUCAGAUUGCAGUCUGCAACUCGACUGCAUGAAGUUGGAGUUGCUAGUAAACGCAGGUCAGCUAUACUGCGUUGAAUACGUUCCCGGGGAUU